UGCUAUACAUGCAAGUCGAACGCGUCUUGGUUAUUGAUGUUAAGUGCUUGCAUUUAACUGAUUUAACAUUGAGACGAGUGGCGAACUGGUGAGUAACACGUGGGUAACCUGCCCUUGAAGUAGGGGAUAACACUUGGAAACAGGUGCUAAUACCGUAUAACAACCAAAACCACCUGGUUUUGGUUUAAAAGAUGGCUUCGGCUAUCACUUUAGGAUGGACCCGCGGCGUAUUAGCUUGUUGGUAAGGUAACGGCCUACCAAGGCAAUGAUACGUAGCCGACCUGAGAGGGUAAUCGGCCACAUUGGGACUGAGACACGGCCCAAACUCCUACGGGAGGCAGCAGUAGGGAAUCUUCCACAAUGGACGAAAGUCUGAUGGAGCAACGCCGCGUGAGUGAUGAAGGGUUUCGGCUCGUAAAACUCUGUUGUUGGAGAAGAACAGGUGUGAGAGUAACUGUUCACAUCUUGACGGUAUCCAACCAGAAAGCCACGGCUAACUACGUGCCAGCAGCCGCGGUAAAAAA
rnacentral:rRNA from 2 species